GACGAACGCUGGCGGCGCGCCUAACACAUGCAAGUCGAGCGGGAAGCUUUUUAAGGAUUCUUCGGAUGAAUUAAAAGUGGAGAGCGGCGGACGGGUGAGUAACGCGUGAGAAACCUGCCCUAUACAGGGGGAUAGCCAUUGGAAACGAUGAUUAAUACCCCAUAUGACCACAGUAUCGCAUGAUACAGCGGUGAAAACUCCGGUGGUAUAGGAUGGGUCUCGCGUCUGAUUAGCUAGUGUGGGUAACGCUACCAAGGCACGAUCAGUAGCCGGCCUGAGAGGGUGACCGGCACACUGGAACUGAGACACGGUCCAGACUCCUACGGGAGGCAGCAGUGGGGAAUAUUGCACAAUGGGCGAAGCCUGAUGCAGCGACGCCGCGUGAACGAUGAAGGCUUUUCGAGUCGAAAAG
rnacentral:rRNA from 1 species